rnacentral:rRNA from 2 species
GGGUUGUGAGGUUAAGCGACCAAGCGUACACGGUGGAUGCCCUGGCAGUCAGAGGCGAUGAAGGACGUGCUAAUCUGCGAAAAGCGCCGGUAAGGUGAUAUGAACCGUUAUAACCGGCGAUGUCCGAAUGGGGAAACCCAGUGUGACUCGUCACACUAUCAUUAACUGAAUCCAUAGGUUAAUGAGGCGAACCGGGGGAACUGAAACAUCUAAGUACCCCGAGGAAAAGAAAUCAACCGAGAUUCCCCCAGUAGCGGCGAGCGAACGGGGAGGAGCCCAGAGCCUGAAUCAGCAUGUGUGUUAGUGGAAGCGUCUGGAAAGGCGCGCGAUACAGGGUGACAGCCCCGUACACAAAAGCGCAUGUGCUGUGAGCUCGAUGAGUAGGGCGGGACACGUGGUAUCCUGUCUGAAUAUGGGGGGACCAUCCUCCAAGGCUAAAUACUCCUGACUGACCGAUAGUGAACCAGUACCGUGAGGGAAAGGCGAAAAGAACCCCGGCGAGGGGAGUGAAACAGAACCUGAAACCGUGUACGUACAAGCAGUGGGAGCAUGAGUUUACUCAUGUGACUGCGUACCUUUUGUAUAAUGGGUCAGCGACUUAUAUUCUGUAGCAAGGUUAACCGAAUAGGGGAGCCGGAGGGAAACCGAGUCUUAAUUGGGCGUUAAGUUGCAGGGUAUAGACCCGAAACCCGGUGAUCUAGCCAUGGGCAGGUUGAAGGUUGGGUAACACUAACUGGAGGACCGAACCGACUAAUGUUGAAAAAUUAGCGGAUGACCUGUGGCUGGGGGUGAAAGGCCAAUCAAACCGGGAGAUAGCUGGUUCUCCCCGAAAGCUAUUUAGGUAGCGCCUCGUGAAUUCAUCUCCGGGGGUAGAGCACUGUUUCGGCCAGGGGGCCAUCCCGGCUUACCAACCCGAUGCAAACUGCGAAUACCGGAGAAUGUUAUCACGGGAGACACACGGCGGGUGCUAACGUCCGUCGUGAAGAGGGAAACAACCCAGACCGCCAGCUAAGGUCCCAAAGUCAUGGUUAAGUGGGAAACGAUGUGGGAAGGCCCAGACAGCCAGGAUGUUGGCUUAGAAGCAGCCAUCAUUUAAAGAAAGCGUAAUAGCUCACUGGUCGAGUCGGCCUGCGCGGAAGAUGUAACGGGGCUAAACCAUGCACCGAAGCUGCGGCAGCGACACUGUGUGUUGUUGGGUAGGGGAGCGUUCUGUAAGCCUGCGAAGGUGUGUCGUGAGGCAUGCUGGAGGUAUCAGAAGUGCGAAUGCUGACAUAAGUAACGAUAAUGCGGGUGAAAAACCCGCACGCCGGAAGACCAAGGGUUCCUGUCCAACGUUAAUCGGGGCAGGGUGAGUCGACCCCUAAGGCGAGGCCGAAAGGCGUAGUCGAUGGGAAACAGGUUAAUAUUCCUGUACCUGGUGUUACUGCGAAGGGGGGACGGAGAAGGCUAUGUUGGCCGGGCGACGGUUGUCCCGGUUUAAGCGUGCAGGUGUGUGUUCCAGGAAAAUCCGGUUCACUUUAACACUGAGGCGUGACGACGAGGCACUACGGUGCUGAAGCAACAAAUGCCCUGCUUCCAGGAAAAGCCUCUAAGCCUCAGGUAACAUCAGAUCGUACCCGAAACCGACACAGGUGGUCAGGUAGAGAAUACCAAGGCGCUUGAGAGAACCCGGGUGAAGGAACUAGGCAAAAUGGUGCCGUAACUUCGGGAGAAGGCACGCUGACACGUAGGUGAAGCGGUUUACCCGUGGAGCUGAAGUCAGUCGAAGAUACCAGCUGGCUGCAACUGUUUAUUAAAAACACAGCACUGUGCAAACACGAAAGUGGACGUAUACGGUGUGACGCCUGCCCGGUGCCGGAAGGUUAAUUGAUGGGGUCAGCGCAAGCAAAGCUCCUGAUCGAAGCCCCGGUAAACGGCGGCCGUAACUAUAACGGUCCUAAGGUAGCGAAAUUCCUUGUCGGGUAAGUUCCGACCUGCACGAAUGGCGUAAUGAUGGCCAGGCUGUCUCCACCCGGGACUCAGUGAAAUUGAACUCGCUGUGAAGAUGCAGUGUACCCGCGGCAAGACGGAAAGACCCCGUGAACCUUUACUAUAGCUUGACACUGAACACUGGUCCUUGAUGUGCAGGAUAGGUGGGAGGCUUUGAAGUGUGGACGCCAGUCUGCAUGGAGCCGUCCUUGAAAUACCACCCUUUAAUGGCUGGUGUUCUAACGUAGACCCGUGAACCGGGUUGCGGACAGUGUCUGGUGGGUAGUUUGACUGGGGCGGUCUCCUCCUAAAGCGUAACGGAGGAGCACGAAGGUUGGCUAAUCCUGGUCGGACAUCAGGAGGUUAGUGCAAUGGCAUAAGCCAGCUUGACUGCGAGCGUGACGGCGCGAGCAGGUGCGAAAGCAGGUCAUAGUGAUCCGGUGGUUCUGAAUGGAAGGGCCAUCGCUCAACGGAUAAAAGGUACUCCGGGGAUAACAGGCUGAUACCGCCCAAGAGUUCAUAUCGACGGCGGUGUUUGGCACCUCGAUGUCGGCUCAUCACAUCCUGGGGCUGAAGUAGGUCCCAAGGGUAUGGCUGUUCGCCAUUUAAAGUGGUACGCGAGCUGGGUUUAGAACGUCGUGAGACAGUUCGGUCCCUAUCUGCCGUGGGCGCUGGAGAACUGAGGGGGGCUGCUCCUAGUACGAGAGGACCGGAGUGGACGCAUCACUGGUGUUCGGGUUGUCAUGCCAAUGGCACUGCCCGGUAGCUAAAUGCGGAAGAGAUAAGUGCUGAAAGCAUCUAAGCACGAAACUUGCCCUGAGAUGAGUUCUCCCUGAGACUACAAGUCUCCUGAAGGAACGUUGAAGACGACGACGUUGAUAGGCCGGGUGUGUAAGCGCAGCGAUGCGUUGAGCUAACCGGUACUAAUGAACCGUGAGGCUUAACCUUACAACGCCGAAG